CAUUACUUCAAUAUACACUUUUAAACUUUGUGGUUGAGUAACUUUGCAAGUGAACUCCAGUCCUACUGGGAAUCACAGGCCUACACAAACAAACCAAAGUCCAAAAAGAGAUAACGGUCUGAGCAAAGGGCAGAACGUGGACACAGGGGGAAAAAGGAAGAAAGCAGGCUGCCCAGCCUAGAAAAAACGUCGUACAGAAUCAGUGAGCCUGACCUACUGGCUUCCUGCCACGACUCUGCUCCGUACCUCGCCAGAGCACUUUACUGUAAAAUGGUGGUAUGGAUUCCAAAGAUGACACUAUAUAGAUACUCUGGACGCCUUUCACACAACUACUUACUGAGCCGUACUUGCCAAGAUGUAGGAGGAUCUGAUGUUCAAGACUCAGUAACAGAUUCUGCUAUGUAAAUGCUGAAAAUACAAGAAGGAUGGUUUGAGCGUACGUGUUUAACGUUGUUGUGUACCAAGGGACCAGAGAAAUUACUGAAACCGCAGGCAUUCUCCUUGCUACAAACUAAGAGCUCUCUCAAAAGAGAUGUGGAUCUUUCCAAGCCCUUCUGGAGCAUUUAUGCGAUGCUUUACAGUCAACCACAGAAGAGCACUCUCUGAGGCAGAACGGGAGAAAGAGCACCUGGGACCUUCUGUUCCUUCCCCUGAUCUAAAUCUUAUUUCACAGAGCUAUUUACUGUUGGAACCCAACACAAGAAAAAAAUAGAAGAAACUGGAAGGCAUUCUGAGACAACAGUAAUCUCAGUGUUCACCUUAAUAUCAACCAGAACUGAAAACCCCUGAAUAUACUAUAAGGAGCCAGAAAAAUAUAAUGCAACAAAAAAGAUUAUCUUAAUUUAGAAAACUGACAAUUUCCCGAGCCACAGGUGGUAAGUGGGAGAAGAAAUAACUAACUCUGAAGAGAGACUGGAAACACCAACAUUAGCCACCUUAUAUAUUACAUGAUAAUGAGUUUGAAAUCCUAUUAAGAAAAUAGGUGCAGAAGAACACACAGUGUGCAUUGGUACAAUACUGAUGUUUGUUGAUGUAUUAAUCCUGAAAAUUCUUUAUUAGUUUGUCUUUUACAAUAUGCCAAGUGCAAUCUCUGUAGUAAAAUGAGGAUUUAAAAGAAAGUGGCUGUUGAGAUUUAAGAAUUAGCGUUUAUAAUCAAACCAUAAACGAUGAAAAACCUUAAGUCUCUAACUGUUAAAUUACAAGUAAUACAAGCAUUUGUAUUCUGAAACUCAAAAAUAAAAUACUAUUUUCCUGUUCAAAACUGUUCUAGUGAUGUAGAGAGCUAAAAGAAUAAACAUCCAGCAUGUAGUUUGUGCAUUUAAAGCGCUCCACACCCACUGAAGAAAAAGUGGUAGAGAUUUCUUUAAAUCUCUUAAAAGCUGCUCACUGCUGCUUUAAACGUCAGUGAUUGAAAUAAUAUUUUGUACUUCCUUUUUUAUAAUUUCAUUUUUUUACUUCACUACCCACUUAUAACAAAGAAGGGCUUAGAGAAUUGUCUGGUAUACUAAAAGUAUCGUGUGACCUUUCCAGAUGUCAGAAGUGCACUGAACGUGUGACAAGGCAAACAAGAGCCAUUCCUGAUGAUGAACAGCCCUGUCAUUUAAUUAUGAGUUUCGAGAAGAGAUUCAAGUUGUCAAGAGCCACUUUCUGGAGGUAAAUCAAAAUGUGAGAUUAAAUUCCCCGAGAGCUCUCAGUAUAUUACAAUUAAGAAGUUAAAUUAAAUCUUGUUAUGUUGAUUUGUCUAACUUUUAUAAAGUUAGAAUUAGAUUCAAUGCAACUUUAUGUAGAAGGUAGGCUUUUCUAUUUGAAUUACCCAGUGACUGUUGAUCAACUUUGUUACUGUAGUUUCUUAGAUGAAAAACAAAAAAAAUUGUGUAAUCAUCACUGCAAAAAAUAGAUAAUUACAAUUUCUCAAUUAUUUUCCCAUGUACUGCUUAAAUUCAGCCUUCUUAAUUGGGCAAAUAGAAGUGAUUUUAACCUCAGUUUCUGAGACAUCGUAAAAUACUGCUUUGGUAUUGAUAGAGGUGAAAGGUACUUACAUAAGAUUCCACAGAUCAGCAAUUACUUCUGUUAUACAUAAUUCAAUAAAUACAAGUAAAAAACUAUUUUUUAAAUUUAAGCAGCUGAUGCUUUAAUGUAUUUCAAAGCUUUCAGUCAAAAUGAGUGCUGUAUUCGAUGUUGCUGACACAACACAGUAGAGACUCCCAUCUAUCCAGAUUAAUGUAUCAAAAUAAGAUUAUUUUAGUAAUGCUUUUCCUUCCAAAUGGCAAAAGCGGCACUAAAUAAACUGUGUCUUCCAAAAAAAGCAAUCCCUUUAAAAAUAAUAAGAAAUCCAUUCACAUGAUCUAUGCUGCAAAGUUACAAAUGCUGGUUUUCUUUCAGUUAUAUUCUAAAUGCUCCUUACUCACAAAACACAACUGCUUAACAAUUUUGCCACAAUUAACAGUCUCAGGGUCCUUCUAUGUCCUCUUAUUCGACUUCUCUAUGUUUCUCUUAUUUCAGGUUUCUGAAACACUGCCUAGAUCUCACUGAACUACAAAAAGCACAUGGUAUUAACAGCU